rnacentral:tRNA from 1 species
GCCUAGAUAGUUCAGUUGGGAGAGCGUUAGACUGAAGAUCUAAAGGUCCCUGGUUCGAUCCCUGGUCUGGGCA